rnacentral:rRNA from 1 species
GUCUAAGGCCAUAUCACCCUGACCAUGCCUAAUCUCAUCUAAUCUCAGAAGCUAAGGGGGGUCAGGCCUGGUUAGUACUUGGAUGGGAAACGUACAAAAUAGGUACUUGGGUG